rnacentral:rRNA from 1 species
CCUACGGGUGGCUGCAGUGAGGAAUAUUGGUCAAUGGACGAGAGCCUGAACCAGCCAAGUAGCGUGAAGGAUGACUGCCCUAUGGGUUGUAAACUUCUUUUAUAAAGGAAUAAAACGAGGUACGUGUGCCUUUUUGCAUGUACUUUAUGAAUAAGGAUCGGCUAACUCCGUGCCAGCAGCCGCGGUAAUACGGAGGCUCCGAGCGUUAUCCGGAUUUAUUGGGUUUAAAGGGAGCGUAGAUGGGUUGUUAAGUCAGUUGUGAAAGUUUGCGGCUCAACCGGAAAAUUGCAAUGGAUACUGGCAGGCUUGAGUACAGGUGAAGUAGGCGGAAUUCGUGGUGUAGCGGUGAAAUGCUUAGAUAUGACGAAGAACCCCGAUUGCGAAGGCAGCUUACUAAACUGGAACUGACGUUGAUGCUCGAAAGUGUGGGUAUCGAACAGGAUUAGAUACCCUUGUAGUC